AACAUGAAUGCCCCUGAAUAUUAAUGACCAAAAAAAAAAAAAAAAGCACUGGUGAAUUUUUAAAUUAAAUUACUACAUAUAUAUGUACAUAUAUAGGGGUUUGGAGGAGAACAGAAGGUCUAACUCGGGAGUUGGACUUGGUGGGGGCGGGCACAGGUUAAAUGUGAGCUGUGAACACCCAGUUUGGGAGGAAGGAGGAAAUGGGAACCAACUGCCAGUCAAGCAGUUGCAGUCUAAGAACAAAUUAGGGCAGGCCUCAGCAUCUCUUUCAGAUUACAUAGAAAAUCUGAAAUAAGAAUAGCUGUGAACUUUUAUUAAUAUACAACAUUCAUUAGUUUAUAUGCAGUCCUCACCACAGCCCUCCGAGAUAAGUAUACUUAUUGUUCCCAUUUUGCAGAUGAGGAAAGCUGAGGCAGAAAGAAAUUAAAUUGCUUAAGGUUACACACAUAGUAGGUAUCACACAUUUAGUCAGAGGCAGAGCUGGGAUUCAAACUCAGGUCUGGCUCCUAGCCUCUGCUCUUAACCACAACACCAUAUACUCCCACCCCUGGGCCCAGCUCAUGUGCUUGGCAGAGUAUUAGAGCCUUUCAAGGUAAGUGUGAUUAUCCGCUUUACAAAUGAGCUUCGGAAAAGUUAAGCAAAGAUUACACAGCUAGACAGUAAUUCAAUAGUAGUCUCUUACCUAUUUUUCCUUUUAUGUUUUCAUUUGUAAAUCUGUUUUAAUUUGAUUUGAACUAAAAAAUAGUACUUGAUUGUGAAAUAUUCUGGGACCACUUUUCUCCAACUCUUCAACCUUUCAACAAUUAUAUGAUUGUUUUCCCAUUUUAUAAGUAAGGCAACUGAGGACUAUUCGGAUAUUUCAUUCACUCCAUUUGUUUACUAAGCCCUGCCGUGUGCUGGAUACACAAUCUGCUGUGUGCUGGAUACAUAUGAUACAAAGGAAUGACUAUCUGGCAUCUUGAAGGUACCCAGAAUAUUGGACUUAACUGACCUGAAGGUGCCAAGCUGGAAUAUUCUUCAUAUUCCCUGUCUGCCUAUUACCAAGUUAUAUUGUUUAGUUUGAGGAAAAAAACAAAAAAAACCCUCCCUUAGAGAAUCACGAUGCAUAUUAGCAUAUUUAAGGACUACUAAAACUUAGACUUAAUCUAGCCUGCCCUAGACAUAUUAACAUCCGGUAGCACAAGUGUUCUGUGAGAUAUAUUUCAGAAAAAUACAGAAUAAACGCAGACUCCUUUGGAUGGCAUUCAGGCCCUUCAUAAACUAACUCUGAAUUAUUUUUCAGUCUCAUUUCCUGCAAUUGCACCCGAUUUUUUCUGUUCUGCAAUCUGCUAUUUUAGACAAGGCUUUCAUAAGAAAUUACAUAAUGACAAGUAAUUCCCACAUUCCCUAGAUAUAUACUUGGAUUUCAAAUGCCAUAAUUGUAAUCUUUCUCCAAAGAAAAAUGCACGAUACAGGCUUCAUUCCAUCAAGAGGCAUAUGAGGUAAGUGUUAUUAUACACGCGUCCAGCAUAUGGGAAAACCACGAAAGUGGAAGGGAAUCAGAGAAGCAUUAACAGACCCUCAAACAACCAUAAUGCUUAACUCCUCUUGUUCCAAUCUUGACUCAAAAUUAUGAUUAUUUUGAUGAUUUGAUGAUUGUUUUGACAGUAUAAACUCCAUAUCUGCAACCUCAGUUAUCUACAAAACUGAAGUACAAACAUUGAAAAAGAACUCUCACCAACCAAGGAUUGAAAUUGUAAUGCAAAUAGAAAGGGCUCAGCUUGAGAGCACAAUCAGAAACUGGAGUUGAUCAAAGAGAAAAUUCUAGCUGAAUUGUCCUAUUUUUAAUUCCCCAGGGAUCCCACUGUCUAUGACACAUUAACAGCGGUGUGAAUCGUUUCUGUUACAUCACAUACUCUGUCCUCUUGUGAUGUGGGUCUUCCCCAAUUGAGUAUAUACAGAUAAUCAAUGACUUUAUCUGGGAGGGAUUGGAGCUAUAGAAUAAUCUAUCUGACCAAUCUGAUGGACCAUUUGUAAGAGAUGAUUGCCAGAUUGGAUCUUCAUUUGACAAAUAAAUACUAGAGCUGCAGAAAGUAAAGUUUACUCCAACCCAAUUAAUCAGUAAUUCAUCCACAGGAAAAAUACAUUUUCUCCACAUGGAAUAUUGAUUUUUCUAUGAAUAUUACCUCCGCAUUGAAAAACGAGUGAGUCACUGCAGUUAAGCCAGUGUACUCUGACGUUGAAUUCCCUGAAGAAGGUACAGUUAUAUUUACAUUUCCUUAGCAAAAAUUUGGUUAAGUGAUAAGCAUUUUUCUCUUUUCUUUCUUUCUUCUUUUUUUUUUUUGAGACCAUGUGUCACCCAGGCUGGAGUACAGUAGUGCAAUCUCAGCUCACUGCAACCUCUGCCUCCCAGGUUCAAGCAAUUCUCGUGCCUCAGCCUCCCAAAUAGCUGGGAUUACAGGAACGUGCCACCACUCUUGGCUAAUUUUUAUAUUUUUUGUUAAGUAAAGACGAGCUUUCAACAUAUUGGCCAGACUGGUCUUGAACGCCUGACCUCUUAUGAGCGAAUCAUACCACUUAUAACUAGAUUUUCUAUUAAUGUAUAAGGAGGGACUCCACUACUAAAGUUUGUUUUACUUCUCUGGUUAUUUACACAGAACGCUGGCAAUACAUUAAGGCUCACUAAUGUGGACCUAAGUGGAAUUUCUGAGAGGCUUUGAAUAUGUAUGUGCAAACUGUCCUAUUUUCUUCAUAUGCUCUCUUAAAUAUGUAUGUAUGUAAAUAUAUAUAUGACACAUAUAUAUAUUCCUAGACAUCUAGGGUUUGCUGUCGUUAGUGACCAAGAAAAAGUAGUUCUUUUGUGCACGUGUGAAAACAUCAAAUUAGCAAUUACCAUAGAAAUGUAUUUCAUUGAAUAACUAGGUUUUGUUUGUCUGUUUCAGGGAAAUGUAAAACAAUUAUUAGAUGUUAUUGUGCCUCUUCUUGUGUUGAUAUGUGUAUUUGGGUCAAAAGUGCAAAAACUUUUUUCUACAAUAUACAGUUAUUUUGGCUUUUCCCAGGGGAAGCUAGCAAUAGUUUUAAAAGCACAAAUUGAUGUAAAAUAUUUUGACUCUUAAAAUAAUGUGAAGAAAUUUUAUUUGCAUUAACAAAAAUAUUCAGGAUCUUUUUGUAGUAAGUAUAUUUUAAAUGGUGUAAUUUGUAUGUUUAUGAUAUGUAUUCAAUUAUUUAAGUUAGGUAUCAAUGCAUUUUUUAAAAAAUGGGCUCCCAGGUGAACAAAACUUUGCUUUUCUUCUCCAUUCUGUACAGGACAAGCAUUAUUUAGUUCACACAGUCAGCUCUCACUACACUUCAACCAGACGGGGCAAGUUCGUAUUUGAAUUCUGUUAUCUUUAUCUAAGGGAAGCAAAAUUAACCAUUUAAUACUAGAUUAUCUUUAAUGGUUAUUAAAAUAAUGUUAUUGACCAAAAAUACAUAUUUGGAGAUUAAUAAAGAUGUAUUAGACUA
rnacentral:lncRNA from 1 species